UGGUAAUUAGUUUAUUAAAACAUUUAAUUUCGACUUAAAAGAUUGCAAUAAAUUGCAACUACCCU
rnacentral:tRNA from 1 species